GACGAACGCUGGCGGCGUGCUUAACACAUGCAAGUCGAACGGUAAGGCCCUUCGGGGUACACGAGUGGCGAACGGGUGAGUAACACGUGGGUGAUCUGCCCUGCACUUUGGGAUAAGCCUGGGAAACUGGGUCUAAUACCGGAUAGGACCAUGCGCUGCACGGUGUGUGGUGGAAAGCGUUUGCGGUGUGGGAUGGGACCGCGGCCUAUCAGAUUUUUGGUGGGGUAAUGGCCUACCAAGGCGACGACGGGUAGCCGGCCUGAGAGGGUGACCGGCCACACUGGGACUGAGAUACGGCCCAGACUCCUACGGGAGGCAGCAGUGGGGAAUAUUGCACAAUGGGCGCAAGCCUGAUGCAGCGACGCCGCGUGAGGGAUGACGGCCUUCGGGUUGUAAACCUCUUUCAGUAGGGACGAAGCGCAAGUGACGGUACCUACAGAAGAAGGACCGGCCAACUACGUGCCAGCCGCCGCGGUAA
rnacentral:rRNA from 1 species